GUGGGGAAUAUUGGACAAUGGGCGCAAGCCUGAUCCAGCCAUGCCGCGUGAGUGAUGAAGGCCUUAGGGUUGUAAAGCUCUUUCAGUGGGGACGAUAAUGACGGUACCCACAGAAGAAGCCCCGGCUAACUUCGUGUCAGCAGCCGCGGUAAUACGAAGGGGGCUAGCGUUGUUCGGAUUUACUGGGCGUAAAGCGCACGUAGGCGGAUCGUUAAGUCGGGGGUGAAAUCCUGGAGCUCAACUCCAGAACUGCCUUCGAUACUGGCGAUCUUGAGUCCGGAAGAGGUGAGUGGAACUCCUAGUGUAGAGGUGGAAUUCGUAGAUAUUAGGAAGAACACCAGUGGCGAAGGCGGCUCACUGGUCCGGUACUGACGCUGAGGUGCGAAAGCGUGGGGAGCAAACAGGAUUAGAUACCCUAGUAGUCC
rnacentral:rRNA from 1 species